GAUGAACGCUGGCGGCGUGCCUAACACAUGCCAGUCGAGCGAACAGACGAGGAGCUUGCUCCUCUGACGGUAGCGGCGGACGGGGGAGUAACACGUGGAUAACGUACCUAUAAGAGUGGGAUAACUUCGGGAAACCGGAGCUAAUACGGGAGAAUAUAUUGAACCGCAUGGUUCGAUAGUGAAGGACGGUGUUGCUGUCACUUAUAGGGGGAUCCGAGCCGCAUUAGCUAGUUGGUAAGGUAACGGGUUACCAAGGCAACGAGGCGAAGCCGACCUGAGGGGGUGGUCGGCCACCCUGGAAGUGAGACACGGUCCAGACUCCUACGGGAGGCAGCAGUAGGGAAUCUUACGCAAUGGGCGAAAGCCUGACGGAGCAACGCCGCGUGAGUGAUGAAGGUGUUCGGAUCGGAAAGCUCUGUUAUUAGGGGAGAACAAAUGUGUAAGUAACUAUGCACGUAUUGACGGUACCGGAUCAGAAAGCCCCGGCUAACUACGUG
rnacentral:rRNA from 1 species